GGCGCCCCUGGGCUUCCUCAUUCUUAAAUGGAUUUUGCCAUUUAAGUAUGUCUAUAGGAUCCAGCUCUUUGAGGCAUUUAAUAUAUCCUUCCCAUUUUUUAUAUUUGUUUAUUGCUUUUCUCUAGGGGAAAAAGGUGGAUGGCUCUGUAAAUGCUUAUGCCAUAAAUGUGUCUCAGAAGAGGAAGUACAGGCAAUAUAUGAAUCGAAAAGGCGGAUUCAACAGACCUUUGGAUUUCAUUGCAUGAGAAUUGAAAUGUUAAAGAAUGAUUUUUUUUUCCCUUACCUUGUUCAGAAGAGUGGAUUUUGUAUUUCAUAUUUAAUAUGCAUAAAAAACAGGAUCACAGUCCUUCCUCCUUGUAAAGUAAGAAAAUUUUAUUUAUGAUGUGUGCAGUUCACUUACCCUGACUCACAAAAAGGAAAGUUAAAUACUGCAUUUUUUUCUUUUAGGAAAUAUCAUUUGGGGCAAUCAUCAGCCCUAUUUUUUGGUUCUUAUUGUUGUGGAAGCUGUAUAUGUUUUCUUCUUGGAUGCUUGUUAGGACUUUUUAAAACACAUAAAAGUAAUUUGGAUGUAAGUUUCUCAAAUAAAGCAGUAUUUCUACCCUUUUGUAUUUGAUAAA